rnacentral:snRNA from 1 species
AUACCAAAACUAUAAUAAUACAGAAGAUUAUCCUCUUCCUUGUUCAAGGAUGACGUGCAAAUUUGUGAAACAGUCCAUAUUUUU